AAUCAGAAUGUAGUUCAUUGCCGUUGUCAGGUCGAAAUUCUGUAUCUCUGACAUCGUUUUAAAAAAAGAGUUGAAGGGGAGCCUGCUAACGUUAAAGAUAGUUGAGAGAAACGCCAACAGCAGGAGAAUAUACCGCAACGUGUCACUUGUCAUAAACCUUCCAACGCCAUGCUACAAAUAAGGAAAAAGAAUGGAAUAUGAACUCCGAAACUAAAGAUAAUUCAGCAGACGGCAGGUGGAUCACGCUGCUUCAGAAGGGACACAUAAACGCCCGCGCUUGCAGCCGUGUUGCAUUGGUUUCCCGCUCUCUCUGUCUGGAUUGGCAGCCCAGAAGUCCUUCCACGGCGGAAACAGACUGGCUCCUUGGCAUCUUCCCCUUCUUUGAGGGGGAAACCAUCUCUUGGUUGAACAGGUUUCUUCUCACCUUGGUCACCUCUGUGGAUAAGCAGAACACGGUUUUCACAGCAGACAGGAGCUGCUGGACAACAGUGAGGAUGGAUGAGUCCCUCAAUGCCAGAGUCUUCUCGUAGCUGGACUUCAGAUGAGACAGGAGGUCUUCCUCACUAGUGAAACCUGGCCCCCGGCUCUCUCCCCCCAGCUGCUCGGCCUCAGCCUGGUCCUUCUGGGCUUUCACAUUCAGCCGGGCCACAUUCAGCAUCUGCAGAGAGCGGCUCAUGGUCUUCAUCUUCUGUUUCACCGGUGUGCGCUGGGCACCACCU